AUUGAACGCUGGCGGCAGGCCUAACACAUGCAAGUCGAACGAGUGGCGGACGGGUGAGUAAUGUCUGGGAAACUGCCUGAUGGAGGGGGAUAACUACUGGAAAAGGUAGGUAAUAACGCAUACCAUCGGAUGUGCCCAGAUGGGAUUAGCUAGGAGGUGGGGUAAAGGCUCACCUAGGCGACGAUCCCUAGCUGGUCGUAGAGGAUGACCUGCCACACUGGAACUGUGCCAGGGUCCAGACUCCUACGGAAGGCAGCAGUGGGGAAUAUUGCACAAGGGGCGCAAGCCUGAUGCAGCCAUCCCGCGUGGUUGAAGAAGGCCUUCGGGUUUUAAAGCACUUUCAGCGGGGAGGCGUUACCCGCAGAAGAAGCACCGGCUAACUCCGUGCCAGCAGCCGCGGUAAUUC
rnacentral:rRNA from 1 species